AUGUAACAUGUCUUAAACCAUAAAAACCAAAAUGAAAGCAACGGAUAGAGAAAAUUUCAGAAAAGUGAAAGUUUAACUCAGUUUAACAGAAUUUCUAGAUGAAAAGUAAACCAAUAUGAAGCGAUCUGAAAUAAAUAUGUACUAAACGGUUUUUUAAGACGGAUAUGGAUAAGCUCACUGCAGUAUCGGGAAUACUUUUCUUGGUGGCUGAUGUUUUUGCGAUUGCAAGUCUCGCCCAUCCAGAAUGGAUAGUUAGUGAUGUCAAUGGCUCUUUCAUCACACUUCUCCCUUGAAGAAGACUGGGCGGUUAUUGAAUGGGCCAUGCGAAAGCCACCCUUACCACAGAUGAACACUUUGAGCACAAUGGAGUGGAUUAUUGGUAAUCUGUCCGAAUCUCACCCAGACCUGUGCAAAGUAGCUACAGUGGGACUGCUUCUACCAACCUCCACAGCUGAUUGUGAGAGAGGUUUCAGCAGUUGAAUGUGUAAAGACCACACACCAUUCACCAGUGAGCAUGAAAGUGCUUAAUGGUUUACUCAUGGUGUCCAUGCAGAGACAAAAAAUGAAUGACUUUAAUUUCAGUGGUGCAGUAAAGGAUUGGCACAGUGCCAAAGACAAACACUUAUAUAAAAAAAAAAAUGCCUAUGUGUUGUUAGUGUUAGUACAAAAGAAGUGGAAGGACAUGUGUGUUGUUCGAAAAUACUUAUAAAAGAAGUGGACAUCUGUGUAGUGUAUAUGAUAUAUUGAUGGUUAUAUGAUUAUGUGAAAAUGUAGAAGUAAUGAAA